GAUGAACGCUGGCGGCGUGCCUAAUACAUGCAAGUCGAGCGAACGGACGAGAAGCUUGCUUCUCUGAUGUUAGCGGCGGACGGGUGAGUAACACGUGGAUAACCUACCUAUAAGACUGGGAUAACUUCGGGAAACCGGAGCUAAUACCGGAUAAUAUUUUGAACCGCAUGGUUCAAAAGUGAAAGACGGUCUUGCUGUCACUUAUAGAUGGAUCCGCGCUGCAUUAGCUAGUUGGUAAGGUAACGGCUUACCAAGGCAACGAUGCAUAGCCGACCUGAGAGGGUGAUCGGCCACACUGGAACUGAGACACGGUCCAGACUCCUACGGGAGGCAGCAGUAGGGAAUCUUCCGCAAAGGGCGAAAGCCUGACGGAGCAAAGACGCGUGAGUGAUGAAGGUCUUCGGAUCGUAAAACUCUGUUAUUAGGGAAGAACAUAUGUGUAAGUAACUGUGCACAUCUUGACGGUACCUAAUCAGAAAGCCACGGCUAACUACGUG
rnacentral:rRNA from 1 species